CUCAACCCCUGAUUCAAUCGCUGGAAAGGAACCGCUCUACCAGAGAAAAUCUCGGCCUAGCCAAAGUUAUGGGUGCCUCCAUCUGCUUCCAAGAGGAUCAGAACAGAUUGGCAGAGGAGAGCAUUGAUGAUAUUCUAACUCAGACUAUGAGUUUGGGCUUGGAGGUCAUCGCAAAUCAACACGUAAUCAGAGAGAAGGCCCAAGCCUUAAGGAGGGAGAUCCUUAAGGCGGUCUAGGAUGCCUCAGCCGCAGCCGCACAGGCUCAACUCUCCUCUGCCAAUGACUACAUCGCCAGAUUGGAAGAUCAGAUAAAGCGCUGCGAAGAGAAAAUAGCCGAAGUGGAGCAGGAACUUGAAGUCACCCAGGCUGGUCGAUCUGCUGAUCUCGCUCGUUUUGAUGAGGAACUUCAAGCAAAGGAGGAGGAGCUCCGAGCGAAGGAUGAGGAGCUCCAAGCUAAGGAAGAGGAAAGCACAACA
rnacentral:misc_RNA from 1 species